rnacentral:tRNA from 1 species
AGUUAAUAAGCUAAACAGCAUAUGUUUUGAAAACAUAAAAUUAGAAGUUAAAACCUUCUAUUAACUU